rnacentral:rRNA from 1 species
UACGUAGGGUGCAAGCGUUGUCCGGAAUUAUUGGGCGUAAAGAGCUCGUAGGCGGUUUGUUGCGUCGGCUGUGAAAACCCGGGGCUCAACCCCGGGCCUGCAGCCGAUACGGGCAGACUAGAGUUCGGCAGGGGAGACUGGAAUUCCUGGUGUAGCGGUGAAAUGCGCAGAUAUCAGGAAGAACACCCGUGGCUAAGGCGGCUCUCUAGUACGGUACUGACGCUGAGACGCGAAAGCGUGGGGAGCGAACAGG